CGGUGGGCGCUAGGUGUGGGGGACUUCCACGUUCUCUGUGCCGCAGCUAACGCAUUAAGCGCCCCGCCUGGGGAGUACGGCCGCAAGGCUAAAACUCAAAGGAAUUGACGGGGGCCCGCACAAGCGGCGGAGCAUGCUGAUUAAUUCGAUGCAACGCGAAGAACCUUACCAAGGCUUGACAUACACCGGAAACUUCCAGAAAUGGUUGCCCCGCAAGGUCGGUGUACAGGUGGUGCAUGGCUGUCGUCAG
rnacentral:rRNA from 1 species